rnacentral:rRNA from 1 species
GACCCCAGGUCAGGCGGGAUUACCCGCUGAAUUUAAGCAUAUCAAUAAGCGGAGGAGAAGAAACUUACAAGGAUUCCCCUAGUAACGGCGAGCGAACCGGGAUCAGCCCAGCUUGGGAAUCGGAUGGCUAUGUUGUCUGAAUUGUAGUCUGUAGAAGCGUCCUCAG